rnacentral:rRNA from 1 species
GAUGCAUUUAUGUAUUUUUGAUUUGAAAAUUUGGUAUAACUCCAAUUACUCAGGUAUGAUCCAAUUCAAGGACAUUGCCAGGUAGGGAGUUUGACUGGGGCGGUACAUCUCUCAAAUAAUAACGGAGGUGUCCCAAGGCCAGCUCAGUGCGGACAGAAACCACACAUAGAGCAAAAGGGCAAAUGCUGACUUGAUCUCGGUGUUCAGUACACACAGGGACAGCAAAAGCUCGGCCUAUCGAUCCUUUUGGUUUAAAGAGUUUUUAACAAGAGGUGUCAGAAAAGUUACCAUAGGGAUAACUGGCUUGUGGCAGCCAA